rnacentral:ncRNA from 1 species
UCAAAUUCGUUGAACAAGAGGAGUAGCCGGAGAAUCUAGCUGCAGCGAGUCAGGGGUGGUGGAAGCCUGAUAGCAAGGAUACUGGUGAAUGGACUUGGGAGAAGCUAGGUGAAAUUUAGAGUAGCCGGGGCCGGGAGUUUCCCGUUACAGAAGCAGGAUAUCGGGUGUUGGGCUCUGUAUCUGAUAAGAGAGAUAGUUUAGGCUGUCUAAUUUGGGUGGUACCGCGGAAGUAAGUCUUUCGUCCCUUUU